AUUCCAUGGUGAGCGAAUUUGUGUAGUAACUCUUUAAAUCCUUCCUAUGCUUCGUAUAGGGACUCGUCAUCCAUUUGCUAAAAAGUGGUGAUCUCAUUCCGCAACU
rfam:Gossypium arboreum cultivar AKA8401 contig_85113_1, whole genome shotgun sequence.